rnacentral:misc_RNA from 1 species
GGCGGUCGAGAAGGCGGUGAUUGCUGUGCGAGAAGGUAAGACGAUUGCGGAAACAGGAGAAAUGGUAUAGGGGGCAAGGUGGCGGGCUAGGGAGGAGAGGGUUUGCGAAGUGGGUUCGGUGAUAAUGGUGGGACACCAUAGGGGAGUGAAUGACUUGAGAGCAAGGAGAUGAGAGAGUCUGGUGGCGUAGUUUUGCGGAGUGGUGAAGGACACGGUGGGCUUGGCGGUGGCGAUGGGGCUGCGCACGGU